AGAUUGAACGCUGGCGGCAGGCCUAACACAUGCAAGUCGAGCGGUAGAGAGGUGCUUGCACCUCUUGAGAGCGGCGGACGGGUGAGUAAUGCCUAGGAAUCUGCCUAGUGGUGGGGGAUAACGUUCGGAAACGGACGCUAAUACCGCAUACGUCCUACGGGAGAAAGCGGGGGACCUUCGGGCCUCGCGCCAUUAGAUGAGCCUAGGUCGGAUUGGCUAGUUGGUGAGGUAAUGGCUCACCAAGGCGACGAUCCGUAACUGGUCUGAGAGGAUGAUCAGUCACACUGGAACUGAGACACGGUCCAGACUCCUACGGGAGGCAGCAGUGGGAAUAUUGGACAAUGGGCGAAAGCCUGAUCCAGCCAUGCCGCGUGUGUGAAGAAGGUCUUCGGAUUGUAGAGCACUUUAAGUUGGAGGAAGGUUGUAACUUAAUACGUUAGCAACUUUGACGUUACCGACAGAAUAAGCACCGGCUAACUUCGACGCCAGCAGCCGUA
rnacentral:rRNA from 1 species